AUUGUAAAUUUCCUGAGGCCUCCCCAGCCAUGUUGAACUGGUCACGAAGGUGUGUUCCAAGGCCACAUCUCCAACCUCACAGAGAGGACAGGAAGUGAUCAGUACCCCAACUAGCAAGAGUGGCCCGUUCAUUGGCCGAGGUUCUUGAGGAUAGAGUGGGAGGUGGGAGCGUCCCUCGUGCUGCCUUCAUUUUUCCUACCCUCAGCUCAGGGGUCUGUGCUAGAGGAAGACACACGAAGGCUACUGUGCCCCCACCACAAGAGAGGGAAACAGGGAGACGCGUGGGUCUGGAGCCAAGCGUAUCUCUCUGUACCCAUCGCACACGAAUUUGAAUCAUCUGCUCUUUGGAAUCGCCUACACCCUGCUGCACCCACGAUGUGGCUGUAACUCCAUUAAAGAAUUGAAUAUCAUCUUCCACGGAAUCUCUGUCUGCACAAAAGGGGCACAUUUAAUUUUCUGUUUUUUAAAUAAAGGUUUAAAAAAUCCUUUUGCAAAGCGA
rnacentral:lncRNA from 1 species